CACUUUAGGUCAAGUGCCUUCUGGGGCCUUCUGAGGAACAUGCACAAGCUGCUACAGCUACUGGUAAAGGGGUGUGAAAAGAUUGUCAGGGAUUGCCCUGACCCCAGCUUUUGAGAGCAGGUGCAGCGUGUUGUUCUCAUUCAGUGGGCGAGGUCAGGUGAAAGAGCUCUGUGUGAAGACAUUCUCUGUGGGCCAGGGCGGAGAGCACCCUGAGGAGGCAGCACUGAUGUGGUUAAUCCAUUGGCCUCCUAGACUCGGUGGGAAGCCUGUUCUCAACGGGAGGCCACUCAUUUUCUAGGAAGGACACACUGGCCAAGUAGCUUAGGCCUUCGGCAAGAGUUAAUUUUAAAGUGAGGUAAUGGCGAUGGUAACCGGAGUGUCUGUGAGGCUGUCUUCUUGGCCUUCACAGUGAUGGUUUCUAGCUUAAGUAUACAGUGUUCAUAAAGUCUACAGCAGUGUACGUCAAUGUCCCAGCCUUCCCAUUCACUCACCGCUCAUUCACUGAUCCACCCAGAGCAACU
rnacentral:sRNA from 1 species